rnacentral:rRNA from 1 species
UACGUAGGGGGCUAGCGUUGUCCGGAUUUAUUGGGCGUAAAGAGCGUGUAGGCGGCCAGGUAGGUCUGGUGUGAAAACUCGAGGCUUAACCUCGAGAUGUCAUCGGAAACCAUCUGGCUAGAGUCCGGAAGAGGAGAGUGGAAUUCCUGGUGUAGCGGUGAAAUGCGCAGAUAUCAGGAGGAACACCGGUGGCGAAGGCGCCACUCUGGGCCGAAACUGACGCUGAGGAGCGAAAGCGUGGGUAGCAAACAGG